rnacentral:lncRNA from 1 species
CCCAAUUGCCCACAGAUUGUUCUCAACAACAAAGAUAAUGGGCAAUUUCCACAAUGCGGCCAUGUUCAAGCACUCGUAGAAUUGGCCAUUGUUGCAAGUUCCAUCACCAAAGAAGGCUAGAGUGACAUGAUCACAUUCAGCGCCCUUCAAGACCUCCUUUCUGUACUUGCUAGUGAAUGCAGCACCUGUAGCCACCGGGAUUCCCUCACCAAUAAAAGCGAAACCACCAAGAACAUUGUGCUCUUUGGAGAACAUGUGCAUGGAUCCACCCUGGCCUCUACAAUCAGCCUCCUUCAAGACCUCCCUUCUGUACUUGCUAGUGAAUGCAGCACCUGCAGCCACCGGGAUUCCCUCACCGAUAAAAGCGAAACCACCAAGAACAUUGUGCUCUUUGGAGAACAUGUGCAUGGAUCCACCCUGGCCUCUACAACAGCCCGUGGUCUUUCCAAAUAGCUCACUCAUCACUUGACGAGCUGGGACACCUUUACUCAAUGCAUGGACAUGGUCACGGUAAGUGCUAACUACAGAGUCUUCCUUCUUCAAGAGCUUAAUGAAACCAGUCGAGACAGCUUCUUGGCCGUUGUACAAAUGCACGAAACCAAACAUUUUGCCCCUGUAAUACAUUUGGGCGCACAUGUCCUCAAAAGCUCUUCCCAGCACCAUGUCCUCAUACAGUACCAACCCUUCCUCUUUAGUAAUCAACUAAAAUGCAACAGCAGACACAAAAUAAUUGAGUAAGAAUCACAAAUAGCCCGAAUCUUUUCAAACAACUACAAUGCUACAUGAGAAAUUCAGAGAAUAGUAAGCACUAAAUCAACUACUAUUACUCCUCAAUCGGUCAAUACCAAACAAGUUGGAGUCGGCUAUAUGAAUCCUUAAUUCCUUACUAACCAUGUUACUCCGUUUUAACUCGUCUCAUGCCAAUAUUAUGAAAUACAAAUAAAAAGAAUUAAGAGUUCUCUGUAUUUUCUAAAUGUAUAUAUCUCUGAAAGGCUAAACCACUCCUAAGGACCUAAAUUGCCAUAAUAAAAACACUUAGAACAACGAGCUACAACUGGGUCAAAAGUUGCAUGACUCAAAUGGAAACUGAGCUAGCAAAUGCCAGAAUUAUCAAAGAUUGGGAUAAAAAUUAAGAAAAUGCAGGAACCUUUAGCUCAAUCAACUAAAUCUAACAACACAAGUAAAAUCACAAAAAGACAAAAUCUUGCAAACAACUACAAUGUCAUACGAAAAUUCAAUGGAGAAUAAGCACAAAAUUAACACACUGAAAAACACUAAAAAGACUUCAAAAUCCCAAAAGCACGAAUCUUUAGCAAGCAACAGGAAUGUUAUAUGAAAAAUUUAACGAAACAAGCAAUAAAUCGCCACAAAGACACCACUUAUAAGAUGGAGUUAAUACAGUAAACAAAGCGAGCAUGACCCAAAUGAAAACUGAGCUUGCAAUUGCCAAAAUUAUCCAAAAAAUGGGGGAUUAAAUUCAGAAAAUGCAGGUCCCUUUAGCCCAAUCAACUAGACGGAAAACCAGACACAAAUAACUGAGUAAAAUCCUAAAAAAACACGAAUCUUUUGCAUGACCCAAAUUAAAACUGAGCUUGUAAAGCCAAAAUCAAUUAAAAAAAUGAAGAAAUUGCAAAGUACCAGAUUGGAGAGAGACGAUUUGGACUUAGACUUCUUUUCCUUAACAACAUCAGAAACAGCAACAACCGCUGCAUUGGAUCGACGCUGGGAAUUAGGAGGCAAAAAAGGCUUCUUGAGAGAAAGCUUAUGAGAAAAUGAUGAUCCAAGAAAAGAUGAACUUUGGAUCAAAAGGGG